rnacentral:rRNA from 1 species
UACGAAGGGGGCUAGCGUUGCUCGGAAUCACUGGGCGUAAAGCGCACGUAGGCGGACUCUUAAGUCGGUGGUGAAAUCCUGGAGCUCAACUCCAGAACUGCCUUCGAUACUGGGAGUCUCGAGUUCGGGAGAGGUGAGUGGAACUGCGAGUGUAGAGGUGAAAUUCGUAGAUAUUCGCAAGAACACCAGUGGCGAAGGCGACUUCCUGGCCUGUUCUUGACGCUGAGGCGCGAAAGCUAGGGGAGCAAACGGG